rnacentral:lncRNA from 1 species
GAAGCCUACAUGCUGGUGUGCUUUUUCCAGAGGCCAGUAUCCAGCUUCCAUUUACUGAAAACGAGUUGGAGAGGAGGAAAAAGGAAAGAAUCCCACAACUAUACUUUUUUCCACCCAUAUUGUUCUUAGCCCAUCACUCCCAGCUGAGUUUAUGAAGUUUUCACCAUGAAAUUCCAUGACUUAAGAAUGUGUAAUCGCAUUGUGGGCUGUCACAAGGGGAAAAAUCGACACCUUACGCUUGAUGCCUGGGGAGAGUAACAUGCUGCAAGAUAGUGUGUUUAAGGCAUUUAUGAGAAUGGACACCGUCAUCGAGAAGAUAAUGGCAGAAGUUCACAAAAUGGGGUCACAGGACCCAGGCCCUGGCCCCUGAGCCCUGAAGAUCUGACCAGAAACCACCCAGAAGGGUUCAAGAGUCCUGAACUUCAGAUCUUACCUCCUAGACCUCGAAUAAUAAUGGAGAAAAACUGGUGAGAUUUUGGUUUAGGUUCCUAAGAGAAGCUUGGCAUGGGGACUCACACCAGCAAUCCUAUUACUUAGGAGAUGGGGGCAGAAGAGUCAGGACUUCAAGGUCAACGUUACUUACAUAGGGAGUUGGAGAAAGAAAAGGAACUUUCAUCAGCCUCUCUGCAGGUUGUGCUACCUCUGCCAACCUUGCUCUUUGUGGGUCCUUCCUCUGCGGUUGUCAGCCCUGUGUGUCAGGAAUGUGGCUGACACACACCCAGGAGAGGCUUUGGGAAAUGUGUGGCUUAAUGAGAGAGAGAGAGAGAGAGAGAGAGAGAGAGAGAGAGACGGAGACGGAGACGGAGACGGAGACACAGAGACACAGAGAGGAAAGGAAGCAAGGAAGGAAGGAAGAAGGAGGGAGGGAAAAGGAGGAAAGGAAGGAGGAAGGAAAGAAAGUCUGAUAGUGGGAGUGAAAAGGAAGGAGUCUUGACCUAAUACCACAUUUUCAUAUUCAAAUUUUCAGGACCCAAGAAGAGAUAGAAGGCAGAAGAUGGCUCUGUGACUUCUCUCAUGUCAGAUUUGCCUAGCUGAGCCCUGACCUCAGUCAAAUGGCACACAGAUAGCAAGGUGUAGCAGUGAGAAGCUGUAAGAGACGGUAAAAACUGAACAGGACCCAGGUUCAAUUCUCAAGAUACUACAUGAUACUCUUGGACAUGGUUAAGGUCAUGCAUGGACAGUCUCAAAACUGUUGCCAAGGCAAAUGUGGCUGUUUGGGGUGGAAGGCUGACAAGUUAGGACAGGAUAACUUUAUUACUUCAGUCAUUUCACUGGAAAGAG